rnacentral:rRNA from 1 species
AAGAACCAAUAUUUUUGGUGACUCAUAAUAACUUUACGGAUCACAUUAUGUGACAUAUCAUUCAAGUUUCUGACCUAUCAGCUUUAGACGGUAGGGUAUUGGCCUACCGUGGCUAUGACGGGUAACGGGGAAUUAGGGUUCGAUUCCGGAGAGGGAGCCUGAGAAACGGCUACCACAUCUAAGGAAGGCAGCAGGCGCGCAAAUUACCCAAUCCUAAUACAGGGAGGUAGUGACAAGAAAUAACAAUACAGAACCUUACGGUUUUGUAAUUGGAAUGAGUUAAGUAUAAACCCCUUAACAAGUAUCAAUUGGAGGGCAAGUCUGGUGCCAGCAGCCGCGGUAAUUCCAGCUCCAAUAGCGUAUAUUAAAGUUGUUGCAGUUAAAAAGCUCGUAGUUAAUCUUCUGUUAAUUUUUAUAUAUAAUAUUUCGAUAUUUAUAUAAUAUUAACAUAAUUCAUAUUACUUUUUAGUAUAUGAAACUUUACUUUGAGAAAAUUAGAGUGCUUAAAGCAGGCUAUUGCCUUGAAUACUCCAGCAUGGAAUAAUAUUAAGGAUUUUUAUUCUUCUUAUUGGUUCUAGAAUAAAAAUGAUGAUUAAUAGGAACAGUUGGGGGCAUUUGUAUUUAACAGUCAGAGGUGAAAUUCUUAGAUUUGUUAAAGACAAACUACUGCGAAAGCAUUUGCCAAGGAUGUUUUCAUUAAUCAAGAACGAAAGUUAGGGGAUCGAAGACGAUCAGAUACCGUCGUAGUCUUAACCAUAAACUAUGCCAACUAGAGAUUGGAG